GAUGAAGAACGCAGCGAAAUGCGAUAAGUAGUGUGAAUUGCAGAAUUCAGUGAAUCAUCGAAUCUUUGAACGCACAUUGCGUCCCUUGGUAUUCCAUGGGGCAUGCCUGUUCGAGCGUCAUUUGUACCUUCAAGCUUUGCUUGGUGUUGGGUGUUUGUCUCGCCUUUGCGUGUAGACUCGCCUUAAAAUAAUUGGCAGCCGGCGUAUUGAUUUCGGAGCGCAGUACAUCUCGCGCUUUGCACUCAUAACGACAGCGUCCAAAAGUACAUUUUACACUCUUGACCUCGGAUCAGGUAGGGAUACCCGCUGAACUUAAGCAUAUCAAUAAGCGGAGGA
rnacentral:misc_RNA from 1 species